rnacentral:rRNA from 1 species
GAACUUAAGCAUAUCAAUAAGCGGAGGAAAAGAAACUAACAAGGAUUCCCCUAGUAACUGCGAGUGAAGCGGGAAGAGCUCAAAUUUAAAAUCUGGCGGUCUCGCACCGUCCGAGUUGUAAUCUAGAGAAGCGCUAUCCGCGUUGGACCGUGUACAAGUCUCCUGGAAUGGAGCGUCACAGAGGGUGAGAAUCCCGUCUUUGACACGGACUACCAAGGCUUAUGUGAUGCGCUCUCGAAGAGUCGAGUUGUUUGGGAAUGCAGCUCAAAAUGGGUGGUAAAUUCCAUCUAAAGCUAAAUAUUGGCGAGAGACCGAUAGCGAACAAGUACCGUGAGGGAAAGAUGAAAAGAACUUUGGAAAGAGAGUUAAACAGUACGUGAAAUUGUUGAAAGGGAAACGCUUGAAGUCAGUCGCGUCGUCCGGGGAUUAACCUUGCAUUUUUGCUGGGCGUAUUUCCCGGUUGACGGGUCAGCAUCAAUUUUGACCGUUGGAUAAAGGCUCUGGGAAUGUGGCAUCUUCGGAUGUGUUAUAGCCCCCUGUCGCAUACAACGGUUGGGAUUGAGGAACUCAGCACGCCGCAAGGCCGGGUGUUUUCACCACGUACGUGCUUAGGAUGCUGGCAUAAUGGCUUUAAUCGACCCGUCUUGAAACACGGACCAAGGAGUCUAACAUGCCCGCGAGUGUUUGGGUGGAAAACCCGAGCGCGCAAUGAAAGUGAAAGUUGAGACCUCUGUCGUGGAGGGCAUCGACGCCCGGACCAGACCUUUUGUGACGGAUCCGCGGUAGAGCGUGUAUGUUGGGACCCGAAA